rnacentral:rRNA from 1 species
GCAGGCUUAACACAUGCAAGUCCUAGCGGGCAUAGCAAUAUGUCAGCGGCAGACGGGUGAGUAACGCGUGGGAACAUACCUUUUGGUUCGGAACAACACAGGGAAACUUGUGCUAAUACGGUAUAAGCCCUUACGGGGAAAGAUUUAUCGCCGAAAGAUUGGCCCGCGUCUGAUUAGCUAGUUGGUGAGGUAACGGCUCACCAAGGCGACGAUCAGUAGCUGGUCUGAGAGGAUGAUCAGCCACAUUGGGACUGAGACACGGCCCAAACUCCUACGGGAGGCAGCAGUGGGGAAUAUUGGACAAUGGGCGCAAGCCUGAUCCAGCCAUGCCGCGUGAGUGAUGAAGGCCCUAGGGUUGUAAAGCUCUUUUGUGCGGGAAGAUAAUGACGGUACCGCAAGAAUAAGCCCCGGCUAACUUCGUGCCAGCAGCCGCGGUAAUACGAAGGGGGCUAGCGUUGCUCGGAAUCACUGGGCGUAAAGGGUGCGUAGGCGGGCCUUUAAGUCAGGGGUGAAAUCCUGGAGCUCAACUCCAGAACUGCCUUUGAUACUGAGGAUCUUGAGUUCGGGAGAGGUGAGUGGAACUGCGAGUGUAGAGGUGAAAUUCGUAGAUAUUCGCAAGAACACCAGUGGCGAAGGCGGCUCACUGGCCCGAUACUGACGCUGAGGCACGAAAGCGUGGGGAGCAAACAGGAUUGGAUACCCUGGUAGUCCACGCCGUAAGCGAUGAAUGCCAGCCGUUAGUGGGUUUACUCACUAGUGGCGCAGCUAACGCUUUUAGCAUUCCGCCUGGGGAGUACGGUCGCAAGAUU